rnacentral:misc_RNA from 1 species
GUUCCCAUCUUCAGCAAGGACAACUAUUGCACAAGCCUUAGAGACAGACACCUUUUUCAGGUCAGCCAAAAUCAAGGGGCUUCCACUUCUGCAUAUGACAGAAGUUCCUCCAAAAUCAAACUCCAUUUUAGCAAUAUCAAGUUCCAUCUCUUCUUUAUCCCGCUCAGCCAACUACAACAGUUCCUCGCCCCAAACACUCAUUAGCUAUCGCAAGCUGAUUCAAUAAUGAUCCCAGUUUAUCACUCCAACCAAGUAUAAGUGUGUGGUUCUGCUCAACUACUUCACUUCUUCCCUUCCUAAGUGAGUCAAACUUCUCAGAGAUUGCAUCAGAAACUACUCCGAGC